GUAGGGGGCAAGCGUUAUCCGGAUUUACUGGGUGUAAAGGGAGCGUAGACGGCUGAGCAAGUCUGAAGUGAAAGGCGGGGGCCCAACCCCCGGACUGCUUUGGAAACUGUAUAGCUAGAGUGCAGGAGAGGUAAGUGGAAUUCCUAGUGUAGCGGUGAAAUGCGUAGAUAUUAGGAGGAACACCAGUGGCGAAGGCGGCUUACUGGACGAUGACUGACGCUGAGGCUCGAAAGCGUGGGGAGCAA
rnacentral:rRNA from 1 species